rnacentral:tRNA from 9 species
GGGGUUAUAGCUCAGUUGGUUAGAGUGUCUCGUUGACAUCGAGGAGGUCACAGAUUCGAAUUCUGUUAACCCCACCA